rnacentral:rRNA from 1 species
GAUGAACGCUGGCGGCGUGCCUAAUACAUGCAAGUCGAGCGAACAGACGAGGGGCUUGCUCCUCUGACGUUAGCGGCGGACGGGUGGGUAACACGUGGAUAACCUACCUGUCAGACUGGGAUAGCUUCGGGAAACCGGGGCUAAUACCUGCUAAUAUAUUUAACUGCAUGGUUCCAUAGUUAAAGACGGUUUUGCUGUCACUUAUAGAUGGAUCCGCGCCGCAUUAGCUAGUUGGUAAGGUAACGGCUUACCAAGGCAACGAUGCGUAGCCGACCUGAUAGGGGAAUAGGCCACCCCGGACCGGAGCCGAGGUCCAGACCACUCCGGGAGGGAGCGGAGGAGUAUGUAACGCUAUGGAAGAAACGCUAACGGGGCACCGCCGCGUAGGGGACAAAGUUCUUCGGCUAGUAAUACUAAGCUAUUAUGGAGCAACAAAUGUGUAAGCAACUUGGGAGGUCUUGCAGGUACCUAAUCAAAAAGCACCGGCUAACUACGUG